UGGAUCCAGACUUUGAUUCUGGCUCAGGAUGAACGCUAGCUACAGGCUUAACACAUGCAAGUCGAGGGGAAACGACAUCGAAAGCUUGCUUUUGAUGGGCGUCGACCGGCGCACGGGUGAGUAACGCGUAUCCAACCUGCCCAUCACUUGGGAAUAACCUUGCGAAAGUAAGACUAAUACCCAAUGAUAUCCCAUGAAGACAUCUGAAUGGGAUUAAAGAUUUAUCGGUGAUGGAUGGGGAUGCGUCUGAUUAGCUUGUUGGCGGGGUAACGGCCCACCAAGGCAACGAUCAGUAGGGGUUCUGAGAGGAAGGUCCCCCACAUUGGAACUGAGACACGGUCCAAACUCCUACGGGAGGCAGCAGUGAGGAAUAUUGGUCAAUGGGCGAGAGCCUGAACCAGCCAAGUAGCGUGCAGGAUGACGGCCCUAUGGGUUGUAAACUGCUUUUAUAAGGGAAUAAAGUGAGUCUCGUGAGACUUUUUGCAUGUACCUUAUGAAUAAGGACCGGCUAAUACCGUGCCAGCAGCCGCGGUAAUACGGAAGGUCCGGGCGUUAUCCGGAUUUAUUGGGUUUAAAGGGAGCGUAGGCCGGAGAUUAAGCGUGUUGUGAAAUGUAGAGGCUCAACCUCUGCACUGCAGCGCGAACUGGUCUUCUUGAGUACGCACAACGUGGGCGGAAUUCGUGGUGUAGCGGUGAAAUGCUUAGAUAUCACGAAGAACUCCGAUUGCGAAGGCAGCUCACGGGAGCGCAACUGACGCUGAAGCUCGAAAGUGCGGGUAUCGAACAGGAUUAGAUACCCUGGUAGUCCGCACGGUAAACGAUGGAUGCCCGCUGUUGGCCUGAAUAGGUCAGCGGCCAAGCGAAAGCAUUAAGCAUCCCACCUGGGGAGUACGCCGGCAACGGUGCAACUCAAAGGAAUUGACGGA
rnacentral:rRNA from 1 species